CCUACGGGGGGCUGCAGUAAGGAAUAUUGGUCAAUGGACGAAAGUCUGAACCAGCCAUCCCGCGUGCAGGAUGAAAGCCCUAUGGGUUGUAAACUGCUUUUAGCAGAGAAGAAAAGCUUCCAUUUAUGGGGUUCUGACGGUAUCUGCAGAAUAAGCACCGGCUAACUCCGUGCCAGCAGCCGCGGUAAUACGGAGGGUGCGAGCGUUAUCCGGAAUUACUGGGUUUAAGGGGUGGUUAGGAGGAGUAGGAGAAAGCUUGUCGCUUAACGAUAGAAUUGCCAAUGAUAGUGGUACUGUUGAAUUGGGUUGAGGUUAGCGGAAUGUGACAUGUAGCGGUGAAAUGCAUAGAUAUGUCAUGGAACACCAAUUGCGAAGGCAGCUAACUGGGCCUUGAUUGAUGCUGAGGCACGAAAGCGUGGGUAGCGAACAGGAUUAGAUACCCUUGUAGUC
rnacentral:rRNA from 1 species